rnacentral:rRNA from 1 species
UGGGGAAUUUUGCACAAUGGGGGAAACCCUGAUGCAGCGACGCCGCGUGAUUUAGAAGGCCUUCGGGUUGUAAAAAUCUUUUCUAUGGGAAGAAAAUGACAGUACUAUACGAAUAAGGACCGGCUAAUUACGUGCCAGCAGCCGCGGUAAUACGUAAGGUCCGAGCGUUGUCCGGAAUCAUUGGGCGUAAAGGGUACGUAGGCGGGUAAGCAAGUUAGAAGUGAAAUCCUAUAGCUCAACUAUAGUAAGCUUUUAAAACUGCUCAUCUUGAGGUAUGGAAGGGAAAGUGGAAUUCCUAGUGUAGCGGUGAAAUGCGUAGAUAUAUGGAGGAACACCAGUGGCGAAGGCGACUCUCUGGUCUGUAACUGACGCUGAGGCUCGAAAGCGUGGGUAGCAAACAGG